rnacentral:lncRNA from 1 species
UUCACAUAUUUUGGCCACGAGCAUCACUGAAGAGACAUGUAUUGUCGAAAUGCGCAUCUGGUGCAGAAAAAAUGGUACCGUUAUUGUUAUUGUGACAGUUGAUGAAAAUGAACAUGAUGGAGAUAAGGGUUGAUUUGGUAUAAAGCUUGUUGCACUGGUACACACGAAUCCAGUCCCGAGGUUAGGGGAUUGUUGGCGUGCCCUUAAAAAAGUUAAACCCCGCCACUAUAUGUAUGUGUCAGUUUUAAGUUACGAGAUGGUAAUGCAGUGUUUGUCGUUUGUUUCUAUAUACUAUAUUGGUUUCUUUAUUAUUUAUUUUGUACAUUAAUC